GAUUUAUUUAUGCAGCGCUUGGCAGCCCAUCGUCCAGAUUGUGGCUGAAGCUGAAUUUUAUGAGCCUUCCCCCAGCUCUCCUGUACUUCUUUUUCAGGGCAAGAAACAGAACGGAAAUGGAGAGGAGAGCCCAGCAUGACUUGCGCCGUGCCAAAGGAAUACGUGCAGAAACGUCUACUCUUGAGCCUUCCAGUGGCCACUGGUACCUUUGGACCUUGAGCUGGAGCUGCAGCCUAGAGUUAUUAUUUAGCUUUGCCCUUUGUCUUUGGUGCAGAAGGGGUGAUGCCUGACCUACACACCCGGCAAUACCAGAAGUUUCACUACCUUCCGUUGGUAAACGCUUCAGGGAAGGCUCUGCAACCCUGAACGUGUUUUAUUGUAGAACCUCACUAGGAAACUCAUCAGUAUUUAUUAAAGAUGAAUUAAAAGAAGGAGGAAAAGGAAAAACGGGAUAGUGAAGAGAAUAGAUGAAUGAAAAAGAAGCAAAGGGAAGAGAGGAGGAAGGGACAAAGAGGGCAAGAAAAGAGAAAA
rnacentral:lncRNA from 1 species